rnacentral:misc_RNA from 1 species
UGAAAACCUUAUCUCUUCAACACUCGCUCAAAUUCUUCCUUCCUUCCUCUGCAUAAACCCUAACAAAAACCCUAGCAAAACAAUGGCUUUUCUCCCUUGUCCAUUGAGAUAUAGCAAAAUGAACAGUCUUUUUCUACUGAGGAAGUCUUCAUCUUCACUAACAUCAAAAAGGGUGUCCAUUAAUUCCAUUUCUCAUAUCUUCAGUGACAAAUUUAGUCCCAGAAAUGCCCUUCGAGUACCUCAAGUUCAAAGCUUUACCACUUCUUUAACAGUAUCAGCACCACCAAUGAACAGGGUUGAUGGUAAAUUUGGGUAUAGUGUUAAGGGAUUUCAUGGGGGUGGUUGUUGUUUGCAGGCUGCAACAGCGACGGCAAUGGCGAUGGUGGAAUUAGAAGAGGAUUGUGAAGAAGGGCUUGAGAUUUCGAAACUUGGGAUUUCUGAGGAAAUUGUUUCAGCUUUGGCACAAAGGGGGAUUACUAGUCUUUUUCCAAUUCAGAGAGCUGUUUUGGAACCAGCAAUGCAGGGGUCAGACAUGAUUGGCCGAGCUAGAACUGGAACUGGAAAGACACUUGCUUUUGGCAUUCCUAUCAUGGAUAAGAUCAUUCGCUUCAAUGAGAAACAUGGACGUGGAAGGAAUCCUUUGGCUUUAAUCUUGGCGCCUACCAGAGAACUUGCUAAACAAGUGGAUAAAGAAUUUUUUGAAUCUGCUCCUGGUCUGGAUACGCUGUGUGUUUAUGGUGGUGUUCCCAUUUCACGCCAAAUGAGUUCCCUGGACAGGGGAGUUGAUGUUGUUGUGGGAACGCCAGGUCGGAUUAUUGAUCUGCUGAAGAGGGGUGCUUUGAAUUUGGCAGAAAUCCAGUUUGUUGUUCUAGAUGAAGCUGAUCAAAUGCUUAAUGUGGGUUUUGCGGAGGAUGUCGAGACCAUAUUAGAAAAUGUUCCGCAGAAGCACCAGACACUGAUGUUUUCGGCCACAAUGCCCAGUUGGAUAUUAAAAAUUACCAACAAGUUCCUGAAAAAUCCAGUUCACAUUGAUCUUGUAGGAGAUUCUGAUCAGAAACUGGCUGAUGGGAUUUCCUUGUUUUCAAUUGCUUGUGAUAUGCAUCAGAAACCCGCAAUUCUUGGACCUCUGAUAACUGAGCAUGCAAAAGGAGGCAAGUGCAUUGUUUUUACUCAAACUAAACGUGAUGCUGAUAAAUUGUCGUAUGUAAUGCAAAAGAGUUUCAACUGUGAAGCUUUGCACGGGGACAUCUCACAAACCCAGAGGGAGAGAACUUUAUCAGGUUUUCGCCAAGGUCAAUUCAAUGUUUUGGUGGCUACUGAUGUUGCUGCUCGAGGACUUGAUGUACCUAAUGUUGAUCUGGUGAUACAUUACGAACUUCCGAAUAAUUCAGAGAUCUUUGUUCAUCGAUCUGGUCGAACUGGACGUGCUGGUAAGAAAGGAAGUGCCAUUCUCAUGCAUUCCUCAAAACAGCAUAGGGAUGUAAAAGGUAUUGAACAUGAUGCCGGAUGCAGAUUUACAGAGCUCCCAACAAUUAAAGUAGAGGCUGGAGCAGUAGAAAUGUAUAGUGAAAUGGGAAAAGAUGAUGGCCGCUUUGGUUCCUCUGGAGGAGGCACUAUGCGUAGUCGAUCUAGUGAUUUUGGUGGAGGCCGUUCUGGUGGCUAUGGAAAUAAGAGCAGCAAGUUUGGUCGAGAAGUCUCUUCAUCUUCUGUUCGAACAGGUGGAUAUAGCGCAACUGGUUCAGGAAGAUCAAGAGGUGGCUUUAGCGGACCUAGCUCAGGCCGCUCAGGAAAGUUUGGUGGUGGUUCAGGAGACACACGAGGCUCAAAACGUUUGGGUGGUUUCCGCAACUUUGGUGGUUUUGGAAGCUCCAAAAGUUCAAAUCGAUCGAAUAAUUUUGCAGAAGAGUUUGAUUCAGGCCGUUCUAGAAGAUUCGGAGAUUCAGAUCAUGAUCGAAACAACCGUUCAAGCCGUUUUGAUGUCUUCGGAGAUGACAAUGAUAGUGGUGAAUGGUGAUCAGAGUUGGAGGAGAACUAUUUCUAACUCUGUUGCAAGGAGGUGUGGCCACUCAAUAGAUGAUGGUGAAGAUGAAACUCCGAUAUGUGAAGUGUGUAUGUUUAUUACCAGGUGCUGUAGAGUAGCAGCAGCUGCAGAUGGUGAUGCUACGACUCGUUACAGUAGAAAAUAACACUUCAACAUCCACUUGGUCUCCAAAGGUACCUACACGCUAUAUGUAACCGAUAGCUACCAAGUUCUCACCAUUGCUGGCGUUAUGUUUCUUCGCUGUAUGCUUGAAAUAAAUAUUUUUUUUGCAAGAGAUCAUAUUGGUACUUGCUAGUGAUAGUGGUUGUAAUGUUCAAGAGAUCAUAUUGGUACUUGCUAGUGAUAGUGGUUGUAAUGUUCAGUAUAAAUUUUGAACAGACCUUGAUCUUAUUAUUUAACCAGUUUAUGAGGAUGUAUUCAAUUUGUUGAAUCAAACAGGUGAAAAG